AAAAGUUGGGGAGACCUGACGCUGAAAGAUGGACUCGCGUCCCAUUAGCUAGUUGGUAGGGUAAUGGCCUACCAAGGCGACGAUGGGUAGCCGGCCUGAGAGGGUGGCCGGCCACACUGGGACUGAGACACGGCCCAGACUCCUACGGGAGGCAGCAGUGGGGAAUUUUGCGCAAUGCUCGUAAGAGUGACGCAGCGACGCCGCGUGAAUGACGAAGGCCUUCGGGUCGUAAAGUUCUUUCGACAGGGAAGAAAAUGCCUAUAAGUAACUGUGUAUGUAUUGACGGUACCUGUAUAAGCAGCCCCGGCUAACUCCGUGCCAGCAGCCGCGGUAAUACGGAGGGGGCGAGCGUUGUUCGGAGUGACUGGGCGUAAAGAGCACGUAGGCGGUGUUGUAAGUCAUUAGUCAAAGACUAGAGCUCAACUUUAGUAAGGCUAGUGAUACUAUAAUACUAGAGUAUCAGAGAGGAUUGCAGAAUUCCUGGUGUAGCGGUGAAAUGCGUAGAUAUCAGGAGGAAUACCGUUAGCGAAGGCGGCAAUCUGGCUGGAAACUGACGCUGAGGUGCGAAAGCGUGGGUAGCAAACAGGAUUAGAUACCCUGGUAGUCCACG
rnacentral:rRNA from 1 species